rnacentral:lncRNA from 1 species
GGAAAGAAAUCCAAAUUUGGAAGGUGACUUCUGGAGUAGCUGUUCAAGUUUGUUUUGUUGUGCAUAUGCUUUCCAUUUAAACAACCAAAACUGGUAAAAAGUAGAAAAACAAAGAAAACAUGUAAAGUCUCUGAAAAUUUUCCUGAAGCACGAUACAAGCUCUCAUGGGAGCAUCUGUAGGAUAUAAAUUUAGGACACUGCACAUUAUUACAGAAGUUGACCACGGAAAUCAUGGGGUAUGUGAACAAAUAACUAAAAGAUGGGCAUGAUGGCUAUAGGAGGAUUUCACUCAAAUUAAAUAAGUUCAACUUUAACUGCUUGCUGUGGAAGAUAGAGCCAUUAAAUUUUGAAGGUAAAAU